UAACGGCGAGUGAAGCGGCAAAAGCUCAAAUUUGAAAUCCUUCGGGAGUUGUAAUUUGUAGGUUGGGAGACCCCGCGGCUAGUGGCACCAAGUCCCUUGGAACAGGGCGCCUUAGAGGGUGAGAGCCCCGUAGGUACCACAACACCGUCUUGUGUCUCCUCUCCAAAGAGUCUAGUUGUUUGGGAAUGCAGCUCAAAGUGGGUGGUAAAUUCCAUCUAAAGCUAAAUACCGGCGAGAGACCGAUAGCGAACAAGUACAGUGAUGGAAAGAUGAAAAGCACUUUGAAAAGAGAGUGAAACAGUACGUGAAAUUGUUGAAAGGGAAGGGCUUGCAAGCAGACACGGCCUUCGUGCCGGGCCAGCAUCGGUUGCUAGGGGUGGAUAAGGAACAAGGAAUGUAGCUCCUCGGAUAUUAUAGCCUUGCGCGAUACACCCACUGGCGACCGAGGCCUGCGGUAUUCCUACCUAGGAUGCUGGCGUAAUGGUUGCAAGCCGCCCGUCUGAAGCCCCGGACCAUC
rnacentral:rRNA from 1 species